rnacentral:lncRNA from 1 species
GCGCGCGGGGUUGGCUGCCGGGAGGUCGACGCUAGUGCGGUCCCCCGCGCGGCGGAGGGGCCCGGGCCGCGGUAUCUGCGCACUGAGACGUCGGCGGAAGGCUAGAGGCCGUGCUCUCGCCCCCGCAGAAGGCCACCACUCCUUGAGAAGGCCGGAGGGACAAAGCACCGGGCCUGCGCCGGGGGCAUUCAAGAAGGAAGCCAGGCCCGACCGGGGGUGGCGCACGCUUCCCGAACCCCAGGCCCACGGCCCGGUUCCGCGCGGGCAGUUGGCGCCCCCUCGGGUCGGCACAGCAGACCUCUUAGUAAUGGUCCCCAGGGAGUGUGAGUGGGUCCCCGCCAAUCUUUUAAGGUUCAGAGAUCCACCGUCGAACGAAGCCGCUUUUACAACUUCCCCAUUUAGCCUCUUUCCUCCCCCGCCGCUGGCUAAAGCGCUGAACCUUGCCAUCCUCCUGGGGUGCCUAACGAUUUGCCCUGCCUUGGACAGCCAGUCCUCUUCAGGUGGUGGGCUGCUGGUAGGGGUAGGAAGCAAGGCCUGGGGCACAGUUGGGGACCCUCACACCUGAUUUUCUGUUUUAAGGAGGAACUGGGUUUCAAAAAGCUGUAGAGUCAGUGGGAGUUUCCUUUUGUGGCCCUUGGCACUUUUUAAAACACCCAUCUGCAAGGCGGGAACAGCGGAGAAAGUGCUAUGUAGUUCAUAAAAAGGAUAUUGGGAGACUGUUAUCUUAAGAGUUUUUCUAGAGAUUGUUUUGUAAUCUCUCAGUUUAGAGAGUUGAUAUGUCCCGCGCCAUCAGCCCGCUGAAUGGGAUCUUCCUUCAGACAGGGACUGAGAAACGGAAAUACUACCAUCCUCCAGCCAAUCUGUUGGGAGGACUGCUUGCAGAGGACUCGUGCUCCAGAUGUUGCACUAGAGGCGCUGCAAGUGUGAGCAGCAGGUAGAUGAAACUCAAGAGAAAAGGUGUGGAUAAAUGAAACUAGCCCAUGAUGAACCUGUUUUCUCCGUGACCACAAUAUUAACCAGGAUGAAUGGCGGUGGCAGUGGGCCUGCAUCACAGGUUGCAGCAGAUGUUCUCAAUAUUUCUAUUAAAAUUUCCUUAUUUCCAUAUGCAAGAGGAGCCCCAGAGCUGCAUCCUUAUGGUAGCUACCAUGCCGUGAUGUAAGCUGCCAUUCACUGGGGAGCUUUGGCAAUAGAAUUGGCUAGAUCAGGAAGCCUAUGUCAACUAUGGAACAACAACUUGCAGCUCAUCUCUAUUGAUGAUACACUGCCUCUAGGACUGGGACAGAUAGCCACUGAGUACCUGCUUCAAAUCACCCUGCACGUUUUCUCUUUGGAAAGAUAAGCACUGGAGAACCAUCUCGUUACCUUCAGCAGAAAUGGAAACAAAUCAAGACAUUAAGAAUGCCGCAGUGGACAGCAGUUAUGCAAGGUUCAGCAGAGGAAGUUUUCAAGAUGGUGUGCCUCACUAGCCAGAAAUCAGAAAAGAUCGAAGCUAGCCUUUUCAUCUCAGCUGCUCCUUAAAUCAGUGCAACCCCUCCAAAUUAAUGUGAAUUGAAACUUGCAUUGCUUUUCAACUUAAUUGAAUACUUACUAUAUGUGAACCACUGCACAAAAUAGGGGAAGAAGAUGUGGGAGACAAAGAUGUGGAGCCUGUCUUCAAUAAAUUUACAGUUAGUUUCAGGGUACAUUGUUUUUCUUCUGCUGUUAAUUAGGUGUAUCCCCAAGACAAUAAAUACAUGAAUGGAAAAGUAUAUUCUGUGUUUUAAGUCUCUUUAAUAAAAAACAAAACAAAAUCCAAAAAAACUCCUAACAUGGCAACUCAGGACAUUUUAAUCCUUUUUUUUGUUGUUGGGCUUCUGAUAGGAUCCAUUUUAUUGAUUCCAUAAAUAUUUAGUAGACUUUAGACAUAUUAAUACAUUGUAGUUUGAGUUAAUUUGCAUUAAAUUCUGUUUUUUUCCCCUUAGGUAUAGAUUGUCUGUUGGAAAAAUAUAUUGCUUGUGGAUUUCUUGGGGAGUGGGAAGGUGAAUUAUACCUGUUGUCUCUACAGUCCACUACCUUCCACACCCUAGGGCAGUGGUCCCCAACCUUCUUGGCACCAGGGAUCAGUUUCCUGGAAGACAAUUUUUCUGUGGAUGGUGUGGGGAUGGUUUUGGGAUGGAACUGUUCCACCUCAGAUCAUCAGGCAUUAGUUAGGCUCUCAUAACGAGUGCGCAGCCUAGAUCCCUCACAUGCACAGUUCACAGUAGGGUUUGCGCUGCUAUGAGAAUCUAAGGCUGCCACUGAUCUGACAGGAGGCAGAACUCAGGUGGCAAUGCUUACUGGCCCACUGCUCACCUCUUGCUGUGCGGCCUGGUUCCUAAUAGGCCAUGGACCCCCACAGACGGGUACUAGUCUGCAGCCUGUGGACCCCAGCCCUAGGGGCCUGCCAUUCUGAGUGAGUUAUUAGCAUGAAGAAGAGGAAGAUCUGGAUCAAACGUGGGUGAUGGUACUCAGAGACCCAAGAUAGGAUAGGGAUGGAACAAAAUCCAUCUGGGCAACGGCUCUAUGAAAAUUUGGCUAAGUAAUUAUUUCAGUAUUCAUUGUAUUCAUUGUCCUUCGUGUUCCAUAAGUUAAAUGACUGUCUAAUUUUUCCAAAAAUUUAUUUCUGACUUGAGAAUAAGUGUGUCAUGAUUUUCCCAGUGUAAAGACACUGAUAUAACUGUAGAUACCAGACAUUUUAUGUAGUGUCUAUGACACAUUUUAGUAUGUAUGAGCCAACAAUAGACAUGUCUUUGUCUUGAGGAGUGUCCAUCUGAAUUGAAAAUGUGUCAGCUUUUUUUUAACAUCAUCAACAGACUUCUUAAUUAAGCUGCCAAUACAUACUGCCAAUAGCACUGUGUGCUGUCUGAGAAAUGCAUUGUGUAAGUGCUAUUUCCAUCUUAUUAAAUAAACAAUGUUGCUCUGUAUAAACUGGAUUUAAAGUGUUCUUUGAAUGAGGCAUUAUAUUGCUCCAUAAAUAAUGUGAUGUGAAUUCUCAUAUGAUCCCUUUUAACUUAAUUUCUAAAAAAAUAUUAUUUGCUCCUCAGUAAGGAAUAGCUCUAAUUGGACUGGUAACUUUAGUGAUAUGAUUUGUCUGUAACAGGCUGAAUCGCCCCACUCCCAAACUCCUGGUCGUGAUACUGGAUAUUUGUUAUGCCACUUUUAGUUUGCAUGAGGUAUCUUCCAGGAAGUAUUAGUUAUUAACUUGUGUUCUACUAAACUGUAGAUAUUUAUUUCCUGUUCUGGAAGAUUUCUUGGAGUGUCCAUCUGUGCAUUCCUGGUGCCUAGUGUAGUCUUGCUAAUGGAAUAGCACCUUUAUUGGUGCUACUUAGGGGUUGGUAGCUUACAAUCAAUCUACUUGGAACGUAUCCAAAUAAACUGGAUAUUUUUAU